GCAAAACUAAAAUCAUUUCUGCGGCCCUAAAGCAUGCCUAUAAAGGCACUAUUUCUUCACUCACAAGUCAGAAUUCAAAGGUGAAAAACACUGAAAUUUUGAACAAACAGUUGUGUCUUCAAAAUCAUUGAAAUUCAUCAUAGCUUUUUGGUGGAAAUUGGUUAAACUUCUUGUUGAUUUUAGCAUCUGAGAGUCAUAAAGAAUUUUUUUGUUUUAAGCCUGGUUAUUGCUGAUUUUAAGCUGAUUCUGUUGUUGCUUGUUCCUCUUCCUGAAGUCGAACUUAUUUUCUCUGUUGUUUGUUGUUGUAACCAGGUAUUCUUCUAGCGGUCAUUUGGCAUGAUGAAAUGAAAGAUCUGCUGUUGUUGUUUAACUUUAGAGAUUAUAGCAUGCAUGUUCAUCAAAUGCCAUUUUGUGUUUUCCUUUUGAACUCAUUUAAUUCUGUAUUAACUUAGUUAUAUUUCACAUAUGAUCUUUUCAUUUGUACGGUUAGAUACAUGUUAGAUAGAACUUUAUUUGUAAGCUUGGAUAUUUGUUUAAAUUUAAUAGUUUUGGGGGCUUCUAAAUCUAUUGAAAGGAUGGUGUGGACAUGUAUGGAUUUAUGGGACUAUGGCAGUAGGAAAAUCCGUUAAAUGUGUUCUGGACUUAUCUCAGUCUACUGGAAUCAGCUGUUUAUUUUUUUUUUUUGGGAAGUUUGUUUGAAUCCUGGUUAGAACGAUUUGAAUAAGUUUGGAAUCAGAAUUUUCAAUCAUGGUUCAUAUUAGUGAAUGUACUCGUUUUUUUGGGAAUCAAGUUAAGUGUUGGUUCAAAAAUCAUGAAUUGUACUAGGUUUCAAAUAAUUUAAUUGUACAUGAGCUAUGACUAUAUUUUCAUCAUCGAAUGGCACUAUAAUGUGUUCUACAUUUGCGUUAAAAGUUGCAAGAAAUGCCAAUAUUUUGUUUUGUUCUAA
rnacentral:lncRNA from 1 species